ensembl:misc_RNA 7SK 7SK RNA
GGAUGUGAGGGCGAUCUGGCUGCUGCAUCUGUCACCCGCAUUAAUCAUCAGGGUUGAUUAAGCUGAUCUGGCUGUCUAGGCAGGUGUCCCCUCCCUCCAUCACUGCUCUCUGUAUGUCCCUCCCUAAGCUGCUCACUCAGUCAAAGAGGACGGCCUUCCCGAAUAGAGACAGACCAGUCGAGAAUAUAUGAGUAGCUGCACUCCCCUCCUAGAAUCUCCAAACAAUCUCUCAAGAAAUGCAAGGAAAGUCCCAGCAGUGCCAGGGCUGGGAGAAAUAUGGAUUUUAAAGGUAAUGGGAAAGGUUCCUUGCCAUCUUA